rnacentral:lncRNA from 10 species
CAUUUUCUAUGUUCUGUGAUUUCAGACGAGAAACCCCAGCUGAGGAGGCAAAUAUACUCAAGGAAAGUAAUAGUUUCCAAAUGCCUGGCAGUGCCAGGAAGGGGCCAUGUCCAUGGACCACUAUGUAAGGAUAUCUCAGUCUCUAGUCCAGCGUGGUUUAUGGUGCCAAAUAAGUGCCAGGUGAACUCACUACAUCUGACAAAAUCUCAAGGAACCAAGUUUACCAGAUAAUAUUUAUGAUUAUGUGAAAAAGACUGAGGAAAUCACUCAAGUGAUCCAUCAUACAGCACCUCCAGUUCCAAAGAAUACUGACUUACUUCAGCUGUACUGGUCUGGAGCUGCACAUUCUUUUCAGACAACUCUUGUUCCAGUAAGUUCAGGCUAGAGUGCAAUGGUGCAACCUCAGCUCACUGCAACCUCCGCUUCCCAGGUUCAAGCGAUUCUCCUGCUUCAGCCUCCCUGGUUGCUGGGAUUACAGGUGACUCUUCUCCUGUAACAGAGCCUCCUUCUUAGAAACUAUGGCCUCCCGUUUCUUUAAGUCUGCUUCCAGCUCCUCUAAUUCUUGGCGUUGGUUCAGAACUUUCUCUACUUCUUCAUCUAACCAUUUCUUUUGCUCAUCCAAUUUCUACAUUAAAAUUAAAAAAAAA